CAGGGAGACCCGGCCGGCUGGAGCGGAGGAGACGCUGGGGCGAGGAGCCGGCCUGACUUCCCGAGCCUCGCUGCGUGCGGUUCUGUGUAGAGGCUAAAAGGCAGAAGUGACAGCCCAAGAAGCACCUCCUAUUCCCAGCCGAAUUCCAUUUUUUGGCUCUGGAGACCUCUACCCCAGGUGACGUUGUUUCACUGCGGCUGCUAUCAAUGCUUUCCAGCCCCUGGAUGCUUUCAGCCCCUGGAGAUGCAGAGGGAGCCGAGGAUAGUUGCGGGCUGCUGUGGAGUGUCAGGGAAAAGGUUUGAAUCCCACUUCUGCUGCACACAGACUACGUGAGCUUGACCAAGUCCCUUAACCUCUCUUGGAACCUCUGAUAAGACGCUUGUGUGGGUUAAAUCCCUUGAAACUUCUGAUAAGAUGUUUGUGUGGAUUAAAUCCUAUCUGCACGUAGCA